AACGAACGCUGGCGGCAUGCCUAACACAUGCAAGUCGAACGAGACCUUCGGGUCUAGUGGCACACGGGUGCGUAACGCGUGGGAAUCUGCCCUUGGGUUCGGAAUAACAGUGAGAAAUUACUGCUAAUACCGGAUGAUGUCUUCGGACCAAAGAUUUAUUGCCCAAGGAUGAGCCCGCGUAGGAUUAGCUAGUUGGUGGGGUAAUGGCCUACCAAGGCGACGAUCCUUAGCUGGUCUGAGAGGAUGAUCAGCCAUACUGGGACUGAGACACGGCCCAGACUCCUACGGGAGGCAGCAGUGGGGAAUAUUGGACAAUGGGCGAAAGCCUGAUCCAGCAAUGCCGCGUGAGUGAUGAAGGCCUUAGGGUUGUAAAGCUCUUUUACCAGGGAUGAUAAUGACAGUACCUGGAGAAUAAGCUCCGGCUAACUCCGUGCCAGCAGCCGCAGUAAUAC
rnacentral:rRNA from 1 species